rnacentral:tRNA from 1 species
GGAAUAUUAGUUUAAUAAAAAUGUCAUACUGUAAAUAUGGAGAUGGGGAAAUCUUAUAUUCCA